AGCAACUGCGACGGCUGUAGCUGUUGGUUAUCAAGCCCUGUCCCUGCCAGAAGGAGUCAAUUUACCAUGCACCCAGAUCGAAGAGAUUAAAAAGAUUGAUGUCUGGCUAACAGUGGACGAAAAUUACAUGCUACUUGUUAACCACUUGAGCUAUGUAGGCGGUAACAAAACAUCAGCAAUAUUAAGGAGGAUUCUUGAAAAACUGUUUUCAAACAAACUUGCGGAAAUCUGUAAUUGGUCAGGCAAAAAUGGAAAACAUAAGCUACAAGAUCACCUUUUAAUUAAAGUUGUUACUGAAGCUCUCCGUCGGCACAAAGUCGCCGAAACGGCUACAGAAAACGAGAUAAAGACCGUGGUUAGCAACUGGUUCCGCUUCUCCAAAGAUAGAGAUGGAGGUCGAGAAAGCAGACGCAGGACAAUUGAGCCAACUUCUAUCCAGCAAUA